ACUAUCUGUUCCUUCACUGACCCUGUUUCAGAAGAAUAUUUUAGAAAGACUAUCAUUUACCAAGAAUUAUAAAAUUUUCAAUCACUUUAGUUUCACUUCAGUUACAUUUUUAUUUUGUUAUAGUCAAGUGAAUAUUAUGCUUUUAGUAUAAAUUUAAAUAUGAAAUUGUGAAAAGGUACAUCAGAUGAUAUACAUUAGUUCUACCUGCACUAGAGAAAAUGAAUGUGCAGAAUAUUUAGCAAAAACAGUCAGAUGAAUUGGAUUUCUGUUGGGCUUUCUACUCUCUUUGUCCAGUAUCCUUUGCUGACACUCCCAUGUGGCUUUGUGUAGAACAAUGAUCCAUAGCCAGGAUGCCCACAGACAUCACACUGGCUGUUCUGAGAAGAAUGAAUGACAAGAGACAAAGAAUGAAAGGAAGGCAAAGAUUCUGGGAAGAUGAUGUUAGGACUCAGAAAACAACACCCCAAAAUAAAAGCCUCAGAAGCAAUAGUUUUUCUCUGAUCUUUUCCUGCACUCGUCUCUCAGUUCAAUUCUCCUCCAAGGCUAGCCAUAGAAACUGAGUUCCUUUUCCCCAAAGCCAGCCAUGAAAACUAAAAAUGUUACUCUAAUUUUCCCCUCACCUUUCUGUGUAAACAACUGGCCAUAAAGAAGUUAUCUGACCUACCUUGUUUGAAUGGGAGUCAUAAGCCCCCAUUCCAGAGAGGAUCCUGUCCCAUACCCAGAAGGAACAAAUGCAGG
rnacentral:lncRNA from 10 species